CCACCUACAUUAUUUAGUAUAUAUUGCCGCUCUAUGUAGAUUAUCUUCUUGUAUCAAAGUCUCAUUGCUUCUGACUUUAGAGCAGUUGCAUAGGUCUUGGCUUCGUGGAAUCCAGGGGAAACAAAAGGAUGAAGUCCUUUUAUCAAGGCAUUCUAUUCUUGCUGGGGUUAUUAUUCCUCCUCUUCACGUCGGAACCUACCUGUGUACAGGCGAUAUCUUACCAACCAAUGCAAUGGCCCUCCCAUACACGCUCUAACUCAUUUCUUGGACCUACACGAGCUACUCGCAUACCUUUCGUUAGAAUGACUACAAAGGCCCCACGUAGUGAACCUGCAAUGACUAACAGCGUAUAACUACGAGCAGAGGAACUGGGAGUAAGCUUGAAAUCUGCGAAGAGCAACGACCAGAUGACACAACUAUUCCGAAUAAUACACCUGCAGUUUCCGGUCUAAGCGGGCAGCUAGUGUGAAAGCUUGAAGAACAGGACACUCUAACAGCGCAUCAAGAGGCUGCAACAAAAUGCGCAAAACGCUCGAAUAGAAGGCCACGACAAGAUUACCCCCUGACACUGGUUUUAUCCAAGAAUGCCUUCUACAAUUAUCGCGAAUGAUUCGAGUCUAAAUGAGCGUCGGUGAAUAUACAGCGCGAGAUGUCGUUGUUUCAGCAGACUAUGAAAACUGCUCGCCCGUUCCUUGCUGCGUAUUCUUUAAUAAACUAUCUUAAUCAAACUAUU